rnacentral:sRNA from 1 species
GCCUGGGUAUGGUGGCACAUGCCUGUGAUUCCAGCAACAUAGAAGGCUGAGGCAGGAGGAUAACAAGUUUGAGGCCACUCUCAGAAAUUUAGUGAGACCCUGUCUCCA